rnacentral:rRNA from 1 species
GUCGAGCGGUAACAGAGAGCAGCUUGCUACUCUGCUGACGAGCGGCGGACGGGUGAGUAAUGCUUGGGAAUAUGCCUUAUGGUGGGGGACAACAGUUGGAAACGACUGCUAAUACCGCAUGAUGUCUUUGGACCAAAGUGGGGGACCUUCGGGCCUCACGCCAUAAGAUUAGCCCAAGUGGGAUUAGCUAGUUGGUGAGGUAAUGGCUCACCAAGGCGACGAUCCCUAGCUGGUUUGAGAGGAUGAUCAGCCACACUGGGACUGAGACACGGCCCAGACUCCUACGGGAGGCAGCAGUGGGGAAUAUUGCACAAUGGGCGCAAGCCUGAUGCAGCCAUGCCGCGUGUGUGAAGAAGGCCUUCGGGUUGUAAAGCACUUUCAGUAAGGAGGAAAGGGUAAGUGUUAAUAGCACUUAGCUGUGACGUUACUUACAGAAGAAGCACCGGCUAACUCCGUGCCAGCAGCCGCGGUAAUACGGAGGGUGCGAGCGUUAAUCGGAAUUACUGGGCGUAAAGCGUACGCAGGCGGUUUGUUAAGCGAGAUGUGAAAGCCCCGGGCUCAACCUGGGAACUGCAUUUCGAACUGGCAAACUAGAGUGUGAUAGAGGGUGGUAGAAUUUCAGGUGUAGCGGUGAAAUGCGUAGAGAUCUGAAGGAAUACCGAUGGCGAAGGCAGCCACCUGGGUCAACACUGACGCUCAUGUACGAAAGCGUGGGGAGCAAACAGGAUUAGAUACCCUG